rnacentral:rRNA from 1 species
GAUGAGCGCUAGCUACAGGCUUAACACAUGCAAGUCGAGAGGAAAAGACAUUGAAGCUUGCGUCGAUGGUCGUCGACAGCGGCGCGCGUGAGAAACACGUAUCCAACCUGCCUCUCUCCAAGACGUAACCCGUCGAAAGACGGACUAAUACAUUAUAUGCAGUCGGGAAGUGAUCUCUGGACGACGAAAGAUUUCAUCGCUGAGAGAGAUGGAUACGCCUGUGAAGCGCGUUGGCGGGGGAACCCGCCACCAAGGGGACGAUCUGUAGGGGUUCUGAGAGGGAGGGCCCCCCAUUUUAACUGUGACACGGGCCACACUCUCACGGGAGACAGCGGCCCCGAAACUCUCGGCGAUGUGCGGAAGACUGACACAGCUUUUCCCCGUGAGUGAAGAGACUUUUCGGAUCUUAAAGCUCUGUGUGUAAGAGAAGAGCGAGUGUGAGAGUGGAAAGUUCUCACUGUGUCGGGAUCUUACCAGAGAGGGACAGCUCUCUACGUGCGCGCAGCGGCGGGAAUACGUAGGGGGCAAGCGUUAUCUGCAGUUAUUGGGGGUGAAGAGAGUGCAGGCGGUUUUCUAAAGGUGAGAUGAAAACCUUUGGGUUAACCGGAGAAGAGCGUCGGGAACAUGGGAAAUCGAGAGCAGAGGAGAGGUAGUGUGAAAUCCCCCGUGUAGCGGUGGAAUGCGUAUAGAUAUGGAGAACACCCGAGUGCGUAAGCGGGUAUACUUGCUGUCCAUGUCGCUGUGAGACGGAAACCUGGUGGGGAGAAAUGAAUGAGUUCCCUUGUAGACCAGGGGGAAAUCCCAUGGGCCCGCCCCCGUGAUCCCCUGUUUAGAGAGCGCCUCCGCGUAGCUCCUAUUGUCCAUUGUGGGAGAGUAUGCUGUCCUCCAUGCUCUCUUUAGAAUCGCCCUUCCUCCUCACCCUCUGUGUGAGAAGUCUACGUGCGUAGAAGUAUUUCUAUUGUCUGAGGUUCGAA